AUAACUAGGUACAUACACAGGGUACCAGUACUGAGUCCAUGUGCAGGGAGAGGUAAGAGGUACUUAAUAACUAGGUACAUACACAGGGUACCAGUACUGAGUCCAUGUGCAGGGAGAGGUAAGAGGUAAUUAAUAACUAGGCUACAUACACAGGGUACCAGUACUGAGUCCAUGUGCAGGGAGAGGUAAGAGGUAAUUGAUAACUAGGUACAUACACAGGGUACCAGUACUGAGUCCAUGUGCAGGGAGAGGUAAGAGGUAAUUAAUAACUAGGUACAUACACAGGGUACCAGUACUGAGUCCAUGUGCAGGGAGAG
rnacentral:lncRNA from 1 species